UUAUCAACUCCGCCUGUAGCUCUCCUAGAGUUACUGCCGGUCCCAAGCCCGGAUAAGGGAGGAGGGUUGG
rnacentral:ribozyme from 2 species